AGUUUAGAUUUCCUCAUCACAGAUUUAAGAAACUCUUCUGAGUACCUGUUUGUUUUUUUCUUCCUGCCUUUUUUUUUUUUUUUUUACUGUGAACAAUUGCAUAAGAUCAAAUGUCUCUGUUCCUUAGGAGAUCAUCUGCUCCUGCUGCUCAUUUACCAUCUGAAAUCAUAAUCAUCUGCUGGUGACAAUCUAAUCAUCUUCACAGUAACUAAUUGUGAUGUCACAAACAAAUGAUUAUGAUUUCAGGUGGUGAACAAACAGCAGGAGCAGAUGUAAUCUGAAGAACAAAGACUGUAAAGUCAUGCAUGAAUCUCUAGUAAUAAAAUGUUAGGGAAGAAAAACAAAGAGCCUGUCCUUUACAGAGAGCUCAUCUACAGCUUCUCCUAGAAGACAUACUGUAUGUUUGUCUUGUCCCAUCCAGAAAUAUAAAACCAAAUGUCUCCAUGUCUUCUCCAGAAGCAUCAGGGAGAAAACCCCCCACUCAAUGUUAUUGCUAUUUCACAUGUGAAAAAAGUCUAAGAUAUCCCAAACCAAGAAAUAAAUAGCUUCUUGCUUCAUCUUUAAGAUUGUGAAAUGAAGAGGAAAGGUAAAGAAGUAAACCUGUCAGAAGGAGCUUUGCCAGUGAGUAGGAGGAACAGAAGUGAAGUUUGCUGCUAAAGUAUCUUCAAAAGUAACACAAUAGAGGUGAGCAAGAGGAGUUGAUUUUCAAGGAUAUUUAAUAGGGAAUACUAAAAAUGCAUCGACUGUAGGGUAUUUCUCAGCAAAACCGAA